CCUACGGGAGGCAGCAGUGAGGAAUAUUGGUCAAUGGACGAGAGUCUGAACCAGCCAAGUAGCGUGAAGGAUGACUGCCCUAUGGGUUGUAAACUUCUUUUAUAUGGGAAUAAAAUGUUCCACGUGUGGGAUUUUGUAUGUACCAUAUGAAUAAGGAUCGGCUAACUCCGUGCCAGCAGCCGCGGUAAUACGGAGGAUCCGAGCGUUAUCCGGAUUUAUUGGGUUUAAAGGUAGCGUAGGUGGAUUGUUAAGUCAGUUGUGAAAGUUUGCGGCUCAAACGUAAAAUUGCAGUUGAAACUGGCAGUCUUGAGUACAGUAGAGGUGGGCGGAAUGCGUGGUGUAGCGGUGAAAUGCUUAGAUAUCACGAAGAACUCCGAUUGCGAAGGCAGUUCACUGGACUGCAACUGACACUGAGGCUCGAAAGUGUGGGUAUCAAACAGGAUUAGAUACCCUAGUAGUC
rnacentral:rRNA from 1 species